AAGCUAUUGUCCAACAAACAAUUUCUUGGUUUUGCCAUAUAAAUAUAGCAAAACCAAGAAAUAGUUUGUUGGACAACAGUUC